UCUUGUGCCACUACCCUGGCCCUACGUCUGCACCCUUGUUUUGAGUUAAUUUUUGUAUCUUGUGUGUAGUGUGUGUGUGUGUGUGUGUGUGUGGGUGUGUGUGUGUGUGUGUGUUAAAUGUACUUACUGAAAAAAAUAUGGCAGAUGAACAAAGAAGCACCAGCUUCCAAAGACUAUCAUCAGCAGACAGCACUGUCUCUACUGGCUCGGACGACUCUUACGAGUACUACCAGACUGACAUCUAUGAGCAGCUGCCCAGCACACUGACCAAACGGAGGUGGCAGCAGGUGGAACAGACUUAUGAGGUCGGGUCCUGCGAAUAUGACCUUUUACCUCCGUCCAUAGACCGGGACCCCCACCAACCACUUAAUAUGCUGCCCCUCUGCAUGCAGGAAAAGCGAAACCUCAGGGAUAGACGCCACCAGGAAAGACUCAGGAUUGGAUUCUGGGCCUCUUGGAGGCAGAGUCAACAAAUCGCAAGGAGGCGACUGAGGGAGCAGGUGGGGAGAUUCUUCUCAGGACUGCUGCCAUGGAAACACACGCUGCAUAAAAUUGAAGGCAGAUUUGGUGUGGGGGUAAAGGCGUACUUUGUGUUCCUUAGGUACCUCAUUUGCCUAAAUCUACUGAACUGUGCCAUCAUUACUGGUUUUGUGCUAGUACCAUCACUGUAUCACAAAUCCUGGGAAGACUACAAAUCUGACAAUAAGUCCAUUUUACACAUUUUUCUGGGCUCCGGUUUUCUGGAGGGAUCUCCACUUUUUUAUGGUUUCUACCAAAAAAUACCGCUCUUCUUCCACACUGGCAUGGGCACCAUACUCUUCCUUAGUCUCAUCAUGAUAGUCCGCAGGAUGGUGGUGGGCUAUAAGCACAUGUGGCUGAUGGGAAAGCAUUUCAGUCUCAAUGUGAGCUACAAGGUGUUCUAUGGCUGGGACUUCUGCAUCCAGGACCCCCAGGCAGCCUCACUCGAGCAUAGCUUUAUCAGAAACGAGCUCAAGAUGGAUCUGGAGGAGCAGAGGUUUCGUCAGAAAGUCUCCGAGCGUUCCAUGAAGCAGUGGGCAUGCCUCUACUUCCUGAGAGGGAUUCUCAACUUUGUGGUGGUGGUGCUUUUGUGUGGCUCCUUCACCCUCAUCUAUUACGCCAUAAUCUCUGCUGAAAAGAAAGAAUCUUUCCACUGGACUGUGAAGCUCCUGAUGAACUAUCUUCCACCCAUCACUAUUACAGUAGUCAACUUCCUGCUGCCUCAUGUUUUCUCCAGGAUAUCAAUGUUUGAAGACUACUUCCUCACCACCCAACUUAAUCUCACAUUAGUUCGGAGUAUCUUCCUGAAGCUAGGGACCUUAGCAAUUUAUAUCAUCUUUAUCACAAUUCAAAAUAACACAUGUGCAGAGAAUGAGUUCGGCAAAGAAAUGUAUAAACUCACCAUAUUUCAGCUCUUGGCAUGUUUCUGCAACACUUUCUUGAUUGUCUACCUCAAAAGGUUGCUAGCAGAGAAGUACCCCUCCUCUAAGCUUGCAAGGAUGAUAGGCAUACAAGAGUUUGUGAUCCCAUUAAACGUGUUGGAUUUGGUGUACAGUCAGACAGUCACUUGGGUUGGAGUCUUCUACUGCCCCCUGCUGCCAGGCAUUAGCACAAUAAAGCUACUGGCCAUCUUCUACAUGAAAAAGUUCACUGUCAUGCGAUGUUGUGUUCCGGCUCAGAGAUUGUUCCGGACCUCCAGUUCUGCCGUUCUGUUUCACUUUAUGCUCUUACUGGGCCUCAUAAUGUCUUUUGUGACAAUUGGUGUCAACAGCAUUAGGUCUGAUGCUGGGUGUGGCCCAUUGGGCAAUGAUACCAUGUACAGUGUGAUGGAUAAGUUUGUGAAAACACUCCCAAUCUCUGCUCAAACUACCAUAAGUUACAUCACAUCUGAGGCCUUUAUAUUCGCACUCAUAUUGGCUGAGAUAAUCAUCCUGACAUCGUUUGUGUCCCAUGGCCGGGCCAAUCGAAAGACCAUCGAGAGACUGAAGGACAUGCUGGUGAUGUGCAGCUCAGAUAAGCGUUACCUGGUGAAGCAACAUUCCACAUGGCUCAGGCAACGAUACAGAAGCUCAGAAACGGAGGCCUUGGGGAAGUGAACGGCUGCUCGAGGUCAGAGAAAGAAAACCUCACUUCUGCUUAGCUCCUAUGAUCCAAGGAUCCAAACAAAUGGCGAGACCUUCCAGAUUAUUCUCCUAGACUGAGGAUAGAGAAGAGAAGAAGAGAAGAAGAGCAGACAUCGUGAAAACGCCGGUGUUGAGGUUUGCCAGAUGCAACCUAAAGCUGAUCUGGGAUCAGCUCUGUGACUUAAUUUAAAAUUAAGGUGAUCGGCACAAAAGAAACCUGUCUUCUUGUUCCUGCCAGUAAGAAGUAAUUUUAGUUUGAUAUUUUUUUUAGCUUUUAAUUUUUUUUAACUUCUGUAUUUUGUUGAGAAAAUAAAUAGUUUACUUCCAUUAUCGAUCAUUUAGGAAAAGAAAAAAUACGCAUGUAAUUAAAGCAUAACGAAUAUUAGCAUUAUGUUAAAGCUUGUUGGUCACUACUAGCUUCCACUUUUUUGGUAUCCAAAUUAGCAUAUUUGGUAAAAUAUUCUUUUAAAAUAUUUUGUACAAUUUUUUUUGUAUUAACCUCAUGUGGCGUAUGUAAUGCCAUCUUCUAUUCAGAUGUAACAAUAAUAUGAGAGUUUGUUUUUCUUUUCAUGCUAUUUUUUCAAUAAAUUCCAUC